rnacentral:rRNA from 1 species
UUAAAAGACAUGGUUUAGUUAGUGUAGUAAUAGUUAAGUUCUAGAAAUAUAAAAAAAUUGGCGGUAUUUUAAACAAAUUAGAGGAACCUGUUUAUUAAAUGAUGCUCCACGAUUAAAUUAACUUGGAUUUUAAACUUAUAUAUCAUUGUUUAAAAUAUAUCUUAGGAUAAUAUUUUUAAUUAAUAAUAAUUAAAAAUUUCAGAUCAAGGUGUAGUAAUGUCUAAGAAUAAAAUGGGUUAUAAUAAAUUUAUUUAAGGAUUUUAAAUUGUAAAUUUAAAAGAAAGAAGAUUUAAUAGUAAUUAAAUAAAUAUUUAUUUAAUGAAAUUAGCUCUGAGAUAUGC